rnacentral:rRNA from 1 species
UACGGGGGGGGCAAGCGUUGUUCGGAAUUACUGGGCGUAAAGGGCGCGUAGGCGGCCUGCUAAGUCGAACGUGAAAUCCCUGGGCUCAACCCAGGAACUGCGUCCGAUACUGGUUGGCUAGAAUCUGGCAGAGGGGGGUAGAAUUCCACGUGUAGCAGUGAAAUGCGUAGAUAUGUGGAGGAACACCGAUGGCGAAGGCAGCCCCCUGGGUCAAGAUUGACGCUCAUGCACGAAAGCGUGGGGAGCAAACAGG